rnacentral:rRNA from 1 species
AGCGAACGCUGGCGGCGUGCUUAACACAUGCAAGUCGCGGGAGAAUGGAGGGCUUCGGUCCUCCUAGUAAACCGGCGCACGGGUGAGUAACACGUAGGUAACCUACCUCCGAGACUGGGAUAACCAAUCGAAAGAUUGGCUAAUACCGGAUAAGACCACGGAAGUUUCGGCCUCUGCGGUCAAAGGUGGCCUCUGCUUGCAAGCUACCACUUGGGGAUGGGCCUGCGGGCCAUUAGCUAGUUGGUGAGGUAACGGCUCACCAAGGCUACGAUGGCUAGCUGGUCUGAGAGGAUGAUCAGCCACACUGGGACUGAGACACGGCCCAGACUCCUACGGGAGGCAG